rfam:Triticum aestivum genome assembly, contig: Triticum_aestivum_CS42_TGACv1_scaffold_061737_1DL
GAUAUACUCCCUCCGUCCGAAAAAACUUGUCCCAAACUUGUUCUUCAAAUGGAUGUAUCUAACACUAAUUUGAUGCUAGAUACAUCCAUUUGAGAGAGAAGUUUUUCCGGACGGAGGGACUAUAUG